rnacentral:rRNA from 1 species
UGCCAGCCGCCGCGGUAAUACGGAGGGUGCGAGCGUUAAUCGAAAUUACUGGGCGUAAAGCGCGCGUAGGUGGUGUGUUAAGUCGGAUGUGAAAGCCCCGGGCUCAACCUGGGAAUUGCAUUCGAUACUGGCAGACUUGAAUGCGGGAGAGGGAGGUAGAAUUCCAUGUGCAGCGGUGAAAUGCGUAGAUAUAUGGAGGAAUACCAGUGGCGAAGGCGGCCUCCUGGCCUGACAUUGACGCUGAGGUGCGAAAGCGUGGGGAGCAAACAGGAUUAGAUA